AUGGCUUUCUGGUCAAUCCAGGUAAACAGGGAAGAUGGUGGCACUUAUCAAACCACAAAUUGUCUUUUCUUCAUGGAAUUGGCAAACAUUGAAAAGCUGCUUGAGCUGAAACUCAUGAUGGAUUCUGAGCUUUCCUGUGAGGCAAAGGAAGGACUCACUUACCUUGAUGAUGAUACAUUCCAGGCAGUUUUGUCAUCGUUGUUGGUUUGUUUAUUGCUUUUAAGGAAAAAGGUACCUGCUGCUCUCUGUAGAGGCCAGGACUGAAGGUCUCCUUGGAGGAGGUCUUCCCUGUCCUAGAAAGGUCUGUAUAGCCUUUUUGUUAUUUGCAUGUAGAAUGAAUACGCAUCGAUUGCCCUAGGAAAUGGGUUGAUAGGACCUUAUAUGGUUUAUUCUUAGCUUUGUUUCUUCUUUGCUUUGUUUUCUUUUUUAUUGAUCAAAUUAGUAAUGGCACAUCGCCCAAACUCCUAAGGUGUUGAUAAUUGAGUAUUGAACAUACUAUAAGAUGAAAUUGUGACCAUGUGCUUGUGGCUCUUUGGGAAUAGAAAAUUAACCCAAAGUUUAAAACAUUUGCAUUUUACACCUCUAUCUGCUAAGAAAAUUCAACAUUUUAAGGGUCA
rnacentral:lncRNA from 1 species